CGGGGUGUGGCGCAGUUGGCUAGCGCGCCGCGUUUGGGACGCGGAGACCGGAGGUUCGAGUCCUCUCACCCCGACCA
rnacentral:tRNA from 1 species